UUCAUUGGAGUUGAGGGCUCGGAGCAGCAGGCAGCCUUCCCCGUGGGAAGGAUGACAAAUGGGGAGUGCUGCUUCUAGGUGCUCGUACCAACUGGCUUCGUGCGUCCUGGGAUGGGCGGUGUUCACAGGCGCUUCGGGGCUGAGCGCCCACCAAGUGUGGCGCGCGCUUUUGGGAAACUCCGUGGAAGACCAGGACGGACCCCUGGAGGGUUAGGAAGACUUUGAGACCAGCCAGGGGAAGCCGUGUCCCGGGCCCUGACUGUGGAUCUCCUACUCUGAACCACGGACUCCAGUUUGGAAGGCCAGGCUGCCUUUCGGAUUGGGGGGUAAGGAAGGGAUCCCCAGCUCAGGCAGCCUUUUGGGCUAGGGCAAGGGGACCUCUGGAACCACAUUUUUGAAUGCUCCCACCCAUGAUUUCUGGGACAGCUACUGGAGACAAAUAGAGGCUCGAAGGUGUCGGGAGAAAGGCUGUGUUCCUGAUGUCAUGUAGUUGAACUUGGAUGUGGAGGAAGUCCAGCUUCCCCUGCAGAGUAAAACCAAGCCAGCGAAUGUGGGUGGGGGCCAGCAGCUGCCGACCCUCCUGGGUGAUGUGAUGGGCUUAGGUGGUAGGAGCCAGGGGCCUGGGGCCAGAGAGGGCAGCCCUAAGGGGGUCUAGACAGCACCUUCUGCCCAGAAUGGCAGCCUUUGGUACAAGUCUUUAUUUAUGCCAGUGGCAUGAAAAUGUCGCCCGAUGAAUCCCCAGGGGCCCGUUCUUGGCAAAAGCCCUGUCUCCCAGCAAGAUGGGAAGUGAUGUCACAUUGCACUCUCCAGCCCGCUCUUCUGGGGUUGUUCGAGUUGUGAGAUGGUUCGGUGACUGAUGCCUCUCAUUGUCCCAGACCUUGUGCUUCCCCUGGGAGACCCUCCACCCUGGUGGUUGCUUUUUCCUGUCCCCAUGCUUUAGCUUGAGCAUCUCCACCGUGGAGGCUGCCCUUGGAGGCUGCACUGUGCUGGGAGGAGAGGGAGACUGGAGAGGGAGAGGAGGAGGAGAUGGCAGGGGCAGUGGGGCCCUCAGAGCUGGUGCAGUACUGUGCUGAUGUCAUCACUUUUGGGGGCCUGCUGAGGCCUGUGGCUGCUCCAGAAUCGACACCAGGAGCCUCUUGCUCAGCCUGGGACAGGCACAGCAUUGCGGCUGCCAGUCUCCCUGACAAGGACAAGACCUGCACCUUCCAGGCAGAGCCAACUGGCCAGCUGAGGUCCUGCGACUCCUGCAGGGAUGAAGGUAUAAGGAAAAGGUGAGGGCCACGAGAACCGGCAAUGGGACGCUGGCGGGGCUCACCUGGCAAAUUGGCAGCACCAGACUCCGGAAGAGAGGGAGCAGAAGGGAGGCAGGCCGGGGACUGCAGAGAAAGGCGCCAAGGCACUGGCAAGAUCCUAGCGCCUCAGAUCCUGACCGUGGCACCUCCCCACCGACCAUUUUCACUUUUCACCCAAUGCAGUCGGUAGUUUGCUCUGCGCUUCUCAUUCUCAGCAGUUCUGAUUAAAGAUCAGAUCCCAUUUUCCUUUUAUGCCUUUAAACUUUAAGCCUGGCCACCCAAGACAAAUGCUCUAUUCAAAGCUGGAAGAUACUUAGAAAUCAUCUGUUACAAGUCCCCAAGCUCAGCGAUGAGGACAGUGAGGCCCAGAGAUUAACCGACUUUCCCAAGGACACAGGAAGCUCAGGGCAGACCUGGGAUUCCCUGGGACAUGUGGGACACGGAUGAGAUCAUCAGCGCUCAACCCAUCAGGCAUCCUGACUCAGAUGCAGUAGGACAAGGUGGAGGAGAUGCCGCUGUCCCGUCGGUCUGGGGACAGCCCAGCUCCCCGGAUCCCGGGCUGGAGAGACGCGUCGCGGCCCCGGGGCCUGGUGGCACGAGCAGGAAGGAGGACCCGGCGGCGGGCUCUGCCUGGGCUUGCCUGGGCUUGUUCCGAGCCGGGCUGCUUCUCGGUGACCACGCAGAUCGGGGGCAUUUGGAGAUUUUGCGGGAGUCCUGCAGCCAAGCUCCGGGGCAGGAGAGGCCUGGAAGCCUGCACUACCUGCUCGCCCCGUCCCAGCAUGCACCCAGGUAAACGCUUGUGUUUCUCAGUCCGUGCGAAAGUUUGCAAAGAAGGAGGCGGGAACUAGACCAACAACUUUAAUAAUCAUAGUCAUAAUAAUGAAAACCCUGUUCAAUUGUGUAGCCUCCGUAAGGGGAAGAAUUUCCAAGAAGCAACAAAAUGUUCUUUGAUUUCAUAAUCUCUGGGGAGAAAGGAUUCCUUUUUUGGGGUUUUGCUCGGCUAGUUCUUUCUUCCCUCCUCUAUCUCCAGCGUGGGGCGAGGAAGGCCGACUGGUUCAUGGGUGGCAAAUGGGGACCCUGGCUCUCUUGCGCUGCUGGCCACGGUGAUAUUGCAGCAAAUGCUCAACCUCCCCAGUUCCUCUCCUCACCUUGAAAGUGGAGGCAUUGAUACUAGCCACCCAUGGUUGCAAAAAACUCGCAUGAAAGGGAAAGGAAAAGUGCUUCGGUCACUAAAGUAGCGUUGUCUAAGAGGUCAAGGCUUUGGAAGACUUUUGCUCUAGAAGAGGGGAACGGGAGAGGGGCUUUCAGCCAACCUGGCCCCGAGGUGAACGCGCGCGCCCCCUGCUGGCUGGAGCCCUGUCCAGCCUGUGAGCCGCCAGUGGGGAAGGAGACUGAGGGGAGGUGGUCCCUGGAGUUCCUUGCUCCUGGCCUGGAGCAGCAGGUGCCAGUGCUCCUGAGGCCCCCUCUCUCAGGUUACGUGGAUGGGGCCUGUAGCACAGACAGGGCACAUGCUUCAGCACCUCCCUGUUUCUGCGUCAGGUGGGGGACAUGAGCUAGGCUCUGCAGAAGGUUCCAGAGCCUGGGCCUUCCUGUUGCAUCCACACUAGGCUCCUGGAGCCCAGAGGUGGCUGGGAUCUCUGCAUACAUGCAUGUGAAACUCUAGCAGAUACCAAGUCAUGUUAAGGGGGCUAAACGGCCCACUGCAGUUAUGUUAGCCAGUUCUGCCUCUGCCCAGUUCUGAGAUAUCUUUGGGACAAAUGGCCACUCCUCUGAGCCCCUGUGUCUUCCUGCAUGAGCCACAAAUGCUGUGUAGUCAUGGCUGAGGAAGAGGGAAGGUACCUGUGCUUGCAAACAUUCCUCUUGAAGGACUAUCCAGGAGCAGAGGGAGCAGCUGGGGGCAGCAUCAGUUGGUACCUGAGCCCAUUGGCACCUACUGCCACAUGGGGUAGUGGCCUGUCUCCUGAGCUUCCCCAAGCUGGCCAAAACUGGCCAGGACUGCCCUGCUCUCCCCUCCCAAUCCAGCUUUCUCUUGGGCCUCCAGGAUCCCUUGGCUAGCUGGUGUGGUGGCCAUGAGGACUGCACUUUUGCACCCCACCCCUGCCCUUGGCACACAUCGCAAAUCAAUAAUGCUAAACCUAGACAGGCCCCCAGGUCUUUCUGAUCAUAGCAUCCAUGCAGUGCUUCCCAUUGAUUGUGUCACCUAAUUGCCAACCCAGCCCUACACCUGCCCUUGUAACUGGUCCCUGGGCCGGGGGGUGUAGGAGGAUGCAAGGAUGAACAAGAUGCUGCCCUUGGUUAUAGGAUACACUACCUCCAGCUAGAGGUUAUCAGAUCUGUGCAUAAGAAAAUAACUAGGCGGGACUCAUUCAUUCAUGCGACAAAUAUUUACAGAGUCCUUGCUAUACGCAAUGAGUCAUUGAGGAGAAACCUACAGAAGGAUGAGGGGGACGGCUUUUCAGGCAGAAGGGUUAGUAAGUGCAAAGGCCCUGUGUUUGGUGCAUUGGAGAAAUUGCAAGAAAGCGGGUGAGACUGAAGAUCAACUCGUGAUACUUGGUAAUGAAUAUCACAUGAAAACAAGGAAGUUUUCUUGUCUAGCUCUGAAAUUUGCCUUGGUUGGCAGAUCCUUCCUUCCCAGAGAGCACACAUCAGUACUGCAGCUACAGCUGUCUGUCUGACAUACUUGUAAGAACGAACUGUUUAGUGCAGGCUCUGGGAGGCAGUGCCAUGCGGGUCACUGACAUACAUGGUGCCAAUCAUUUUUCUCCAUUCGUAAGGCACCUCAGGACCCCACUGGGGCCCCAGUGUUCCAGUAAGGAUACGGGUUUUGAGUUAAGGACCCGCCUUCCAGCUCCGUCUCUGUCACUAGCUGUGCUAAUUUGGAAAUAGGACUUCCUUUCCUGGCUUUGGUUCCUCAUCUAUAAAAAUUGCCCUUAUGUUAGGACCUACUUGGUAGACGCAUGAGAUAAAAUAAUUCGAGAAUGUGCAUAAACCAGGGAGCAGGGUGCUGUGGCAACUAUUAGGUAGCAUCAGUGAUAAAGCACUUUGCUUUCAUGGAUAUUUUAUGUGUUCACUAAAUCAGAACUUUCCUCUAUGCUGAUGUAGUCUAGUGAGGUCUGGGGAGUUUCUUGUUUGAUUUUGCAUUGCAAAUAUUCCUCUCUUCCCCUC
ensembl:lncRNA MIR34AHG MIR34A host gene